AGGGCUAGCAGUAGAGUGUUGCG
rnacentral:piRNA from 1 species